rnacentral:rRNA from 1 species
UACGGAGGUGGCAAGCGUUGCUCGGAAUCACUGGGCGUAAAGGGCGCGUAGGCGGGGAGGUAAGUCGGGUGUGAAAUCCCUCGGCCCAACCGAGGAACUGCGCCCGAGACUGCUUCUCUUGAGUCCCGGAGAGGAAGAUGGAAUUCCCGGUGUAGCGGUGAAAUGUGUAGAGAUCGGGAGGAACACCGGUGGCGAAGGCGGUCUCUGGACGGUGACUGACGCUGAGGCGCGAAAGCGUGGGGAGCAAACGGGAUUAGACUAC